rnacentral:rRNA from 1 species
GGGUGCGAUCAUACCCGCACUAAUGCAUCGGAUCCCAUCAGAACUCCGCAGUUAAGCGUGCUUGGGCGAGAGUAGUACUAGGAUGGGUGA